rnacentral:rRNA from 1 species
AACGAACGCUGGCGGCAGGCUUGACACAUGCAAGUCGAACGCCUGUAGCAAUACAGGAGUGGCAGACGGGUGAGUAACACGUGGAACGUGCCCAAAGGUACGGAACAACUCCGGGAAACUGGAGCUAAUACCGUAUGUGCCCGAAAGGGGAAAGAUUUAUCGCCUUUGGAUCGGCCCGCGUCUGAUUAGCUAGUUGGUGGGGUAAUGGCCUACCAAGGCGACGAUCAGUAGCUGGUCGGGGAGGAUGGCCAGCCACACUGGGACUGAGACACGGCCCAGACUCCUACGGGAGGCAGCAGUGGGGAAUAUUGGACAAUGGGCGCAAGCCUGAUCCAGCCAUGCCGCGUGAGUGAUGAAGGCCUUAGGGUUGUAAAGCUCUUUCGCCAGGGACGAUAAUGACGGUACCUGGAUAAGAAGCCCCGGCUAACUUCGUGCCAGCCGCCGCCGUAA